GACCAGCUAAUCUUGUACCAUCUCAGGUACAGAAAGUCCCUUGCACAGUUCAUGUAAUAUGAAGAAAAAAAAAAACUUCUCUAGGAAUGGAGGUGGGAUGUAAGGGAGAUGGAGACAUCAGAGUGGCUAAAAUUGUAUUGCACUCCCACUCCCCUGCCAAUAAAACCACCAUAAAUAAAGUGGCUUUGCAAUAACCAUCUCCACGCAUUGUAGCACAGAUUCAUGUGUCCCUGCAAAGAAGAUCCAAGCAGGAUAAACCCUGCUCAUUCUCCAAGAGAGGCACGACGAGAGGCAUGACAAGCUGGCUCCCGUCCUACCAUGGGAGACCUCUUCCCAGCAGGUGCUACCCCCAAGCUCCCGGUCUCCAUCAGUGGCUUUACCUUCCCAUUCUCCAUGCUCAUGGGUGGGUGACGUCCCCAGGCCACAGCUGUUUCAGCUCCCUUGUGGCCUUCCAGAUGCCCUUCACUGUGAGAUGACCGCUCAUCCGCUUGUUUUCUCUCCUGUCGUUCUCCCGGACACUCUGCAUUGCCUUUUUACGUCACCUUCCAUCCCUAAUUUUGCAGGACGCCCUCCCCCUGUAAUUUUCAUGAUGUCUCAUGCCUGCACAGCGGUGAGGAAGAGUUCUUCCCAGAUUUGGUAGGAAACAACAGCAAAGGGAGCUGGAAUCUGGGCGCGAGUCCAGGGGAAGGGCUGUCUGCUGUCCAUGGCUUUCUGGCACUAAGCUGCUUCCUGAAGAUUACACAGCAAGCCAGGAUCAGCAUCUCAAGAGGAGCCGAUCCAGGAGAGAACGGGGGGCCAAAAGAGCCUGAGGAGUCUGAAGAUGGAGCUUUAUCAGCUUAGCAAAAGGGUUGGUGCAUUAAAUGACACAGGCUGCAGGCCCUGCAUGCUUGAGGUUUGUAACAGACAAGUCAGCAGAAGGUCUAAUAAAGGGUAGAAAUAGUGAAUAAAUAUGAUUUCCUUCCGAAAACCCAACAUGGCUUCUGUACAGGGAGUGCUUGCCCUACAAACCUCUUGACAACCUUAAAGAGGUCAAUAAUCUUGAAGGGGACGAUGUUUCCAGGAGAUACGGUCUCCUUGGCUCUCCAAGGCUGUGACAGAAGGCUCUGCCCUAGUCCCACUAUGGCCCAGAUGCUCAUGGAAGGAUUAUUCCCCCCACUGCUCACAUGGCCCUUCAAGCCAGCAGCACCCCUGAUACAGAAGGCUGAGGGGGAUCUGAUCAACACCUAUAAAUACUUAAAGGGUGGGUGUCAGGAGGAUGGGACCAGUCUUUUUUCA